GACGAACGCUGGCGGCGUGCUUAACACAUGCAAGUCGAACGGUAAGGCCCUUCGGGGUACACGAGUGGCGAACGGGUGAGUAACACGUGGGUGAUCUGCCCUGCACUUCGGGAUAAGCCUGGGAAACUGAGUCUAAUACCGGAUAGGACCACUGCCUGCAUGGGUGGUGGUGGAAAGCUUUUGCGGUGUGGGAUGGGCCCGCGGCCUAUCAGCGUGUUGGUGGGGUGAUGGCCUACCAAGGCGACGACGGGUAGCCGGCCUGAGAGGGUGACCGGCCACACUGGUACUGAGAUACGGCCCAGACUCCUACGGGAGGCAGCAGUGGGGAAUAUUGCACAAUGGGCGCAAGCCUGAUGCAGCGACGCCGCGUGAGGGAUGACGGCCUUCGGGUUGUAAACCUCUUUCAGCACCGACGAAGCGCAAGUGACGGUAGGUGCAGAAGAAGGACCGGCCAACUACGUGCCAGCCGCCGCCGUAA
rnacentral:rRNA from 1 species